GUGGGGAAUCUUGCGCAAUGGGCGAAAGCCUGACGCAGCCAUGCCGCGUGAAUGAUGAAGGUCUUAGGAUUGUAAAAUUCUUUCACCGGGGACGAUAAUGACGGUACCCGGAGAAGAAGCUCCGGCUAACUUCGUGCCAGCAGCCGCGGUAAUACGAAGGGGGCUAGCGUUGCUCGGAAUUACUGAGCGUAAAGGGCGCGUAGGCGGACAGCUUAGUCAGAGGUGAAAGCCCAGGGCUCAACCUUGGAAUUGCCUUUGAUACUGGCUGUCUUGAGUUUGGGAGAGGUGAGUGGAACUCCGAGUGUAGAGGUGAAAUUCGUAGAUAUUCGGAAGAACACCAGUGGCGAAGGCGACUCACUGGCCCAAUACUGACGCUGAGGCGCGAAAGCGUGGGGAGCAAACAGGAUUAGAAACCCUAGUAGUCC
rnacentral:rRNA from 1 species